AGUGAACGCUGGCGGUAGGCCUAACACAUGCAAGUCGAACGGCAGCACAGUAAGAGCUUGCUCUUACGGGUGGCGAGUGGCGGACGGGUGAGGAAUACAUCGGAAUCUACUUUUUCGUGGGGGAUAACGUAGGGAAACUUACGCUAAUACCGCAUACGACCUACGGGUGAAAGCAGGGGAUCUUCGGACCUUGCGCGAUUGAAUGAGCCGAUGUCGGAUUAGCUAGUUGGCGGGGUAAAGGCCCACCAAGGCGACGAUCCGUAGCUGGUCUGAGAGGAUGAUCAGCCACACUGGAACUGAAACACGGUCCAGACUCCUGCGGGAGGAAGCAGUGGGGAAUAUUGGACAAUGGGCGCAAGCCUGAUCCAGCCAUACCGCGUGGGUAAAGAAGGCCUUCGGGUUGUAAAGCCCUUUUGUUGGGAAAGAAAAGCAGCAGGUUAAUACCCCGCUGUUCUGACGGUACCCGAAGAAUAAGCACCGGCUAACUUCGUG
rnacentral:rRNA from 1 species